AUUGAACGCUGGCGGCAGGCUUAACAUAUGCAAGUCGAGCGGAGAUGAGGUGCUUGCACCUUAUCUUAGCGGCGGACGGGUGAGUAAUGCUUAGGAAUCUGCCUAUUAGUGGGGGACAACAUUCCGAAAGGAAUGCUAAUACCGCAUACGCCCUACGGGGGAAAGCAGGGGAUCUUCGGACCUUGCGCUAAUAGAUGAGCCUAAGUCGGAUUAGCUAGUUGGUGGGGUAAAGGCCUACCAAGGCGACGAUCUGUAGCGGGUCUGAGAGGAUGAUCCGCCACACUGGGACUGAGACACGGCCCAGACUCCAACAGGAGGCAGCAGUGGGGAAUAUUGGACAAUGGGCGGAAGCCUGAUCCAGCCAUGCCGCGUGUGUGAAGAAGGCCUUUUGGUUGUAAAGCACUUUAAGCGAGGAGGAGGCUACCUGGAUUAAUACUCUAGGAUAGUGGACGUUACUCGCAGAAUAAGCACCGGCUAACUCUGUGCCAGCCGCCGCCGUAAAAC
rnacentral:rRNA from 1 species